AAACUCCAGGAGAUGGAGGGCAAGAGUGUUCCUGGGCUGAUGCCCAGAUUAAACAUGGGAGAUCCUUGGAGUGUUUUCAUCUCCUCCAUUAGAUAGAUCUGAUAAGUGCGGAGAAUCCCUAACUUGCUCUUGUCAGUUAAAGCUAAAAGAUGUUGUCAUUUAAAGGGUCAGGCAUACCCUGUCUCACUGCAGUGUUUCAAGAGAAGGGGACCACAAAGGAGAGGGGAGGCCACCCUGAUGCAAAACAACAUGAAUCAAAAAGAAACAAAGACAUAAGUCAUAGGACAUUUGCACAACUGAUUAUCAUGAGGAUAGUGGCUUUCAACAAGAGGGUUUUAUUUACUACUAAUAAGGAUUAAAUAUAUCCAUAAUAAAAAGAAAGACUAAUGGAACCUAAAAACAAUAAACUGACAAAACGUCUUUCUUCUGUUGGACUAUCCCAAAUUAUAAGCAAUACAUUGCAUUAUGGUUUUCCAGUCAACACCCACAGCUGCCAGGUCAAAUGGGCUAAAAGAGAGGAAGGGAAGUUUCCUCCAGAAUCAUUUAUGAUUUGUGGUGCUUAGGAGAAUCCAUCUCAUCAGCAAGUAGUCUGGAAAUCCGAGAGGAAAACAGAGAUCAAAG
rnacentral:lncRNA from 1 species